AAUUUUAAUAAAGUUUCUAUCAUGUUGUUUUUGAAUUUUUUUUUAUUUUUUUAUUUUUUUUAAUACCAUAUUUUUAAGUUAUUUGGUAAAGCAUGUUUUUCUCAAAUACAAAUAUGUUAUGUCAAACACAUGCUAUUCUUUCCGCUUUUUUUUUUGGAAAAAUUGCCACCAUUAAUCACAACUUUACCCCAUCCACUGUUAUUAAUCCCAACUUCCAUUUAUUUUCUAUCACUCCCAAAUUUGUACCCUAUUAAUUUUUAUCACCCCCAACUGGUCAUCUAACUUGAUGUAGGAGGUUACCAGACACGUGUCAACGCGUGAUAGGUCCGAAAAAAAUUAAAAAAAAUAAAUAAAUAAAUUUUAAAAAAAAAAAUUAAAACCCUAACCCCUACCCCAGUAGGUGGUAGCCCCUGCCUUUACCGGUAGGCGACAGCUAGCCCCUGCCGUUUCGCAGCUCCAUCUUCUUCCUCGUCCGUUUUCGCCCCCUUUCCCACCGAAUUUCACCAUCCUUUAGCAAAUCAGCCACUGCAACGCAACAACCACCAGCCUAAUUUCACCCACCAACACCACCAGUAAGACACACCGCCAGUCUCGCCCACCAACACCACCAAUUUCUUCUCGAUGCCGCACAAAUUCCAGCCACCAAAUCAACAAUAUCGGCCAACAAAUACAUCAAUUUAUCAUAUUGGGAGGUGCGGAGGAUUGCAACGGUGGGGAAGGAGGAGGAAGAAGGGAAGCAGCGGGGUUAGGGUUUAGGGAGGGGCUGGGGGAUCGCGACGGCCGGGAAAGGUAAGGUUGGGAUUUGCCGGUCGGAGAAGGAGGACGCUGCCGUCGAUGGGUUGCCGCAGUCGGGGGGAGGGGGAGGUGGCUGUGCAGUAGGGAUGAAGGUAGUUUUGGUUUUUUGUUUUAAUUUUUUUAAUUUUUUUGUCCAAUCACAUGCUGACAUGUGUACAAGUAAUUCCAAAUCAGCAAUGUUUACCUCUUCAACCGAUUUCAAGUCACUUGGGGGGUGACAAAAAUUAAUAGGGUACAAAGUUGGGAGUGAUAGAAAAUAAAUGAAAAUUGUGAUUAAUAACAGCCGACGGAGCAAAAUUGAGAUUAAUGGUGACAAUUUUUCCUUAUUUUUAUUAUUUAAUUGGGUGCACCCUGAUGUACUGAUCAAGUCAUUGAAUACUUGAAAUACUAGCGGUUUUAACAGUACACCGUCGCCGCUACUACAUAACUAUAAGUCUAUAACGGGAAUAGCCGUUAGACGCCAAAAUCAUUCGCGGGAACUUCCAUGAAAAAGGAGAGAGAGAGAUGGACGAUUCAGGAGCAAUUCUCCUCCAAAUUUCAACCCUCAAGGACAUGCUUGACAAGGUUAAUGAUGAAAUCGAAGCGAAUAUCCAAAUUACAAGGGAAAUUGAAUCGGAAAUUGUUAAAAUUGAAGAGAUUGAGAAUGCGUUGGGUGCUAGAGAAUCUGAGCUCAUGAAGUUGAUUUAUUUGUCUCAAUUUGAAUUAAGUGGUUUGAUUACUGUCACAGUUAACUCAAGAAAAUCAAUAGCAGCUUUGACUGAAGAGAUUAAUGCUCAAAGGAGGAAAAAAGAUGAUCUACUUGAUAGAUUGAACAAGAAGCGGGAAAAUUUUUCCAUGGCGUGCGUUGAAUUCCAAAAGAACAUUGAAAGUGAAGAUUGUAACAAACUGAGGGCAAUGUUGUUGGAGAAAGAAUCUCUUGAGGAUGAGAUCCACAAGCUUGAUCAGACCGGUAACAAGUUUAAAGUACCAGUGAAAGCACUUUCUGAGGACAUGCUUGAAGAUCUAUACAGGUCUAAUUCUGCACUAGCAACUGAGAUACAAGAAAGACAGGCUGAAAAUGAGCAAGUGCUGAAAGAAAUUGAGGAGCUUAGGUCUAUACUGCUUUCCACCAUUUCCGAUGUUGAUGAUCCUUGGUUAUAAUAAUGGUACCAAGUUGCAGUCUUGCACAAGUUUUUUGAUUUGAGGAAUGAAGAUGUCGGUUAAAGAUGCCUUCAAAUAAUCUCUGCAGCCAAAUCAUCCCUUUCAUUGGUCCAUAAAGAGGAGUGGAUGACUUCUUAGCUGCAGGUUCAUAACAUCAUAGACAUGAUAAGUAGAAAAACUCUCAUCUCACUCUUAGAGACUGCUGGUGGCUGCAGAGUGCAGACGUGUUGCUUUGGUACUGGAGUGGUGACAUAAACUUUAAUAGAUGUUAGCAUUUAACUUGGAAUUGGAAGAGGAGGUGCAGGAUCAAAAGGCCCGAAACUCUGAAAGUGAUUUGCUCAUUGUGUUGUUCUUUGUAAAAUUCACCAGAGCCCUCAUUGUGUUGUCCUUGGCCCCUUUUUUUUUUUUUUUUUUUUUUUUUUUUUUUUUUUUUUUUUUUUUUUUUUUUUUUUUUUUUUUAAUUUUACGCACGUAUCUACAAUUUGGUCAUUCAAAUAGAAUUUUUUGAUAGAAACUACCUAUUAAACACCACUUUUGGAAAUAUUUACAUUUUAAAACUUUUCUUUUUAUAAAAUCAAAAACUACCCUAGAAACCUAAAAGGUUUGGGCAGCACUAUCUAUAACGUAGUAACUAUUUUUGUCCAAAAUGUCUGUUUGUGGGCCCCACUGAUCACUCUAAUUUAUGAAGUUUAAUUCCCCAAAUUAAUAAAACACGAUUUGAUUCUUGUUUCGAACCAC